CUGGCGGCAGCUUACACAUGCAAGUCGAACGGUAGCAGGAGGAAGCUUGCUUUCUUGCUGACGAGUGGCGGACGGGUGAGUAAUGCUUGGGAAUCUGGCUUAUGGAGGGGGAUAACUACUGGAAACGGUAGCUAAUACCGCGUAAUAUCGAGAGAUUAAAGGGUGGGACUUUCGGGCCACCUGCCAUAAGAUGAGCCCAAGUGGGAUUAGGUAGUUGGUGGGGUAAGGCCUACCAAGCCUGCGAUCUCUAGCUGGUCUGAGAGGAUGGCCAGCCACACUGGAACUGAGACACGGUCCAGACUCCUACGGGAGGCAGCAGUGGGGAAUAUUGCACAAUGGGGGGAACCCUGAUGCAGCCAUGCCGCGUGAAUGAAGAAGGCCUUCGGGUUGUAAAGUUCUUUCGGUGAUGAGGAAGGUGUUUUGUUUAAUAGACAAAGCAAUUGACGUUAGUCACAGAAGAAGCACCGGCUAACUCCGUGCCAGCAGCCGCGGUAAU
rnacentral:rRNA from 1 species